CAGUCGCCGCGGUAACACGAAGGGGGCUAGCGUUGCUCGGAAUUACUGGGCGUAAAGGGAGCGUAGGCGGAUCGUUUAGUCAGGGGUGAAAUCCCGGGGCUCAACCUCGGAACUGCCUUUGAUACUGGCGAUCUUGAGUACGGGAGAGGUGAGUGGAAUUUCCGGUGUAGCGGUGAAAUGCGUAGAUAUCGGAAGGAACACCUGUGGCGAAAGCGGCUCACUGGACCAUUUCCGACGCUGAUGCACGAAAGCUAGGGGAGCAAACAGGAUUAGAUACCCCAGUAGUCCCUGUCUCUUAUAC
rnacentral:rRNA from 1 species